CCUACGGGAGGCAGCAGUGGGGAAUAUUGCACAAUGGGCGCAAGCCUGAUGCAGCAAUGCCGCGUGUGUGAAGAAGGCCUGCGGGUUGUAAAGCACUUUCAGUAGUGAAGAAAAGCUUGAGGUUAAUACCCUCAAGUCUUGACGUUAGCUACACAAGAAGCACCGGCUAACUCCGUGCCAGCAGCCGCGGUAAUACGGAGGGUGCGAGCGUUAAUCGGAAUNACUGGGCGUAAAGCGCGCGUAGGCGGUUUGGUAAGUCGGAUGUGAAAUCCCCGGGCUCAACCCGGGAACUGCAUUCGAUACUGCCUGNCUAGAAUGUGAUAGAGGUAAGUGGAAUUCCCGGUGUAGCGGUGAAAUGCGUAGAUAUCGGGAGGAACAUCAGUGGCGAAGGCGGCUUACUGGAUCAACAUUGACGCUGAGGUGCGAAAGCGUGGGGAGCAAANANGAUUAGAUACCCUGGUAGUCCACGCCCUAAACGAUGUCAACUAGCCGUUGGGUCCUUAAGGACUUAGUGGCGCAGCUAACGCGAUAAGUUGACCGCCUGGGGAGUACGGCCGCAAGGUUAAAACUCAAAGGAAUUGACGG
rnacentral:rRNA from 1 species